AUGUCUCUGUGUUUGCAGGUGUCCAGUGUGAGGAGCAGCUGGUGGAGUCUGGGGAGGCCUGAGUCAGCCUGGGGGGUCCCUGAGACUCUCUGUGCAGCCUCUGGAUUCACCUUCAGUAGCAACUGGAUGCACUGGAUUCGACAGGCUCCAGGGCAGGGGCUGUACUGGGUUGCACGAAUUAACCCUGAUAGUGGUACUAAGAACUAUGGAGAUUCCGUGAAGGGUCGAUUCACCAUCUCCAGAGACAACGCCAAGAACACACUGUAUCUGCAAAUGAACAACCUGAAAGUUGAGGACACUGUGGUAUAUUACUUUGUGAGAGACACAGUGAGGGGAAGUCAGUGUGAGCCCAGACAGAAACCUCCUCUUCAGGUGUGGAGCUGA